ensembl:snRNA U1 U1 spliceosomal RNA
CUACUUACCUGGCAGGAGCAAUUCCAUGAUCAAGAAGGUGGUUCACCCAAGGCGAGGCUCAGCAAUUGCACUCAGACUCUCUACUGCAUAAUUUCUGAUAAUUACCUCUGACUUUGUAACAGAGGUAA